UGGGGAAUAUUGCACAAUGGGCGAAAGCCUGAUGCAGCAACGCCGCGUGAAGGAAGAAGGCCUUCGGGUCGUAAACUUCUGUCCUUGGGGAAGAAGAACUGACGGUACCCAAGGAGGAAGCCCCGGCUAACUACGUGCCAGCAGCCGCGGUAAUACGUAGGGGGCAAGCGUUAUCCGGAAUUAUUGGGCGUAAAGAGUACGUAGGUGGCAACCUAAGCGCAGGGUUUAAGGCAAUGGCUUAACCAUUGUUCGCCCUGCGAACUGGGAUGCUUGAGUGCAGGAGAGGAAAGCGGAAUUCCUAGUGUAGCGGUGAAAUGCGUAGAUAUUAGGAGGAACACCAGUGGCGAAGGCGGCUUACUGGGCGGUAACUGACGUUGAGGCUCGAAAGCGUGGGGAGCAAACAGGAUUAGAUACC
rnacentral:rRNA from 1 species